GUACAGAAUUAGGCAGACCAUGAUUGAUCGCAUUCUCCAGCACAGUAGGUGAGGACAUGCACUUUAAACGGUUGUUUUCGCGGACCGCCAUGAUAUCAUAGAAGAAAACUGUCGCAUUCCACUCCAGCAGAGGGCGAUAGUCAAUCAUUUGUGAUGCCCUACACAGAGGGACAUGCGCUUCUGUGUUUAUAUUCUGCAGAAGUGCAUGCUAAUUUUGCAUGGAAGAAAAUAAACAAUAAAAACUAAAAGAGAGUUGAAGAGAGAAUUUCUCAACCAGAAAUUAAUAGCGGCUGCUGAGGAGAUAUUUGGGGUCGUUGAAAAAACGAUAACAGAGUACCAGCUAGACGUUUUCCAUACGAAAGAGGAGAACGAACGUCUUCGUGGGCUGUUGAUGUUGCACAAAGGAGUGUAAAGAGGAAGAGGAUACCCACUGGAUCAGUGAGGUUGAAGAACACAUUCAAAAGCUGGAGUCUGAUUCCAAAGAAUAUCCAGACCAAGUAUCCACUUCUGAAGAUUUCACAUUCCAAAUGGAGACAGAAGGGUCUGUAAAUGAAGCCAUCAAACUGAAAGUCAUCCUCAACGACAACAGAAUAGAGAAAGUGAUUCUGCCCUCUCAACCUGACUCACUGAAUGAGCUGAUAUCAACGCUCAAGGAGAAACUGCAUCUGAAGUUUCAUUUCAGUCUUCUUUAUGAAGACCCUGAUGUAAACAACGAGCUCUUCAACUUAGAGACCAUUGAAGACUUGCCUUCUCCUAGGGCUACGGGAAAGUUUUGCGAAUACCACGUGAUACAGACCUCGGUUUAACCGGACUCUCAGCCACCGAGUUACAGGCCGCCCCACCAGAGCGGUUAGGAAGGUGGCCUGAGGUAUUUGUCAUACUCACUUUCUCAAUGGAAGUUGAGUUUGCUCUGAGAGAGGGCUAUUGUGCAUAUCUGAGACAGGAAACGGUGCUGAAAAUAACGAAGGAUCAAAAACACAACAUUCUUGAUAGGAUGGCUUGGACAAUCUUCAAUUCCAAAGCGUACCCAAGUGACAGGCAUUUUGGCAGCUGAGGCCCUUGUAACCAAGCACCCAUGUUUGAAAGAGCCUGGCUCAAACGCAGGCUGUGAUGGCUGGAAGAACAGCCUGAAAUUCAAAACGGGAAACUACAGGCAGAAGUUACGCCAUGUUGGGUUCCCAGAGGUUGCUGUGAACGGGGGGAGGAGGAGCAAGCAUCGUCCUGACAAUGAACAGCUCGAAGCAACAUUAAACAAGCACGCCGGGCAGAAGGGAACUUCCUGCCCAACUUCCCUCAAGGAGAAGACGAGGCCAGCCUGGAGAAACAGAGACUGGAGAUGGUCCACGAGAUGACAAAAGAAAACUGAGACUUGCUGGGUCCCACAGUGGCACAUUGUAAACAGGAAGAAGAUACACACUGGAUCAGUGAGGUUGAAGAAUACAUUGAAAGGCUGGAGUCUGAUCCCAAAGACCCUGACCAAGUAUCCACUUCUGAAGGUACAUGCUGAGUUUCAGAGAAUCACCAACCAGAGCCUGCAGCAGACGUUCUACUCUGCCUUGGACCACCACACGCCCCGCCUGCUGACCCUGUUCAGGGAGGAGGAGGGGAAGUCCACCACCCAUGAAGGGAAGUUCUCAAGCAUCCUGAGAGUGUACAACGAGCAGUGGGAGAACUCAGCAACCCUGGUAUACUGGAUGGAGUUGCCAUUCUCUCAGUGGUGGGCCAGCACAAUGAGGUGGUGGGUGGUAUACCCAUCAGACCGGCCCAUGUAUCCAUUGUCCUUGAGGAUAAGAUCGUCAUGACUAACUCCCGCUCCUGGCCAGACGCUCUCGUGGUUGUUUUUGGGUUACUCUACUCCCUCCAUCUGAACUACCCCAAAGCCCUGGGCAGCACCUUUGAGUUCAUGCAGAAAAUCUUCCUGAAUCUCGACGAUGGAAAACUGAAGCCCAAGCGGCUAGCGCUGAAAUAUGAACUGUUGGCCUAAUUCUGUAGUGAUGAGAUGGAAUUUUACUUUGAGUGACCUCCUAUAUGCCGAGCGAGUGGUUUGAAAACAAUGGUUAUUUUUGUUUGGUUUGCUUUUAUAUUUUUGUACGUUUUUUGUGCAAGUAAUGGAUUUGAUAUUGUAUUUCAAUUCACUUAUAACCCUUUAAUAUGAAAAGAAGACACAGGUCAGUCAACACAUUAACUUGCCACAUACAGUCGAUCUGCGACCCAGUUCUCUACCUUUGUUAUACAGCUGCAGAAAACCCCCAAACGUUUUCUAGAAGAUUUCACCUUUGCAGACAUUCCGACUGGCACAAAAUACAUGUUGAUAAGAUGUUUAUGAAAGUGUCUUUACCUGCUAUUGUCUAUCUUCUCUGGCAGUGUUGCGUGAUCCUGGCCUUCUAUCUGAAUUCUAAAUGCUCACCAAGACACAGGACUAUGUCUUAACUGUUGUAACACACUGAGUAUACGCUGAGUGUACAUUAUUGUGUUGCACCCCCUUUUGCACUCAGAACAGCCUCAAUUCGUCAGGCAUGGGCUCUACAAGAUGUCAAAGCGUUUCACAGGGAUGAUGGCCCAUGUUGACUCCAAUGUGUCCAACAGUUGUGUCAAGUUGGCGCGAUGUCCUUUAGGUAAUGGACUGUUCAGAGAUGACGUCUGUGUGUGUUCCGUCUGACUCCUGUCCAGCUGAGGUUUCUCCACACUGCCGGCACAGCUCCAUGUCAACUUGAUGCAAACACUGGUAUCUGUGAGACGGUUUCUCUGUCAACACAGCUCACUGGUUUGUCUGUCUGUCUCGUUGGUCUGCCUGUCGCUGGUAUGUGUGUCUGUUGCUUGUCUGGGAGGUAGUGUUGGUCGCCUUCACAGUUCUCUCAGACACAAAGGUCUCUGUGUGUGUGUUUUUGUGUGUGCGCACAUGCAAGUGAGUCUGUUCUUAAUUACAUGGAGCACCAUGUCAGCAUAUUUCUCAGCUUGUGAAUAGAUGAGUGAGUUAAUGAGUGAGGGUUUUAUGUGUGUUUUCCUACGACUAAGGGAGUAGUUAUUAGAUUUCAUUGUCAUGCAGCCUGAGCCCUCCCCCUUUGACUGACACUGAGAAUACUUCACCAGAUUGGCAAAAACAAGAAACUAUGAAACGCCUGUGACUCCAAUUAGUAUAUAAUCAAGGCAGACUGUCAGUCAGUCCAUGGCUCUGUGAUCACAUAAGUAGUUCACUUACCGGUAGAACAGACGGCACCAUUGACAGAAAGUCUUGCCUGAUUGAACGCCGAGGGAAGCCUGGUACAGAAAUGUCCAUUUACUUAGAAAUUACAUGAUUAAAAUGGUAAUUACACUAAUUACACUAAUAAUUUGAUUGGCGAAACUUCUGUGUUAGCCAAGCUGCAAUGAUGGACAGGCCAUGUAAAUGACAUCUAUUUAUUCUAUGCAACCUAUUUCUACGUCUUUGACAUUGUCCUUCUCACUCACCCUGGUGAAGGAUGGCUCUAAGAAUAUCUCCCUGAUGUGAUGUCAUCAGAAUGGAAUGUCAGGAUCGUCCUGUAGAUGCUGCAAUACAGAAUGCUGCCGACAUACUUAUCUAAGGUGACUUUAAACGCCACACAACCAAUUUACCAUGGAAUAUCUCCGCUCAACAUGAGGGCAGGAGAAGGCUAAUAGCACUUGUGACACGAAUAUACCUCUGUUUACUUCUUUACUACUAAUGAACUCUUGUUGAAUGCAUGUUAUUCCUAUGGUUAAUGCAGAGUACAGUAGCUGUUCUGAAUGGCAACAUGGCUGACUAUACAGCGCUAUAAACAGACUAUAAGGCAAAGACCCACACUGUCAGUUCCUAACUGUAAAUAGAGAUCAAAGUAAAAUAGUUUUAUGUGAACAGUCAGACCGUAGCAUGCUAACAUAGUACGGUCCAGCUGCAUAUGCAAUUACCAUGUAAAUACUGGAUGGUUUUAACUUCACUUGGUAUAAAGAGGGAAUCGUAAGCCACACCAUCACAUGUACUGUAUGAAUAGGAUGAAGUUGCCUCUUUGUGGUUGAAACAUUAUUAAUACAAACUAUAGGAGCAUUUAUUCUAAACAGCACAGAGGCAUUUGUCACAUUUAGCCUAGAACACAUUCAGCCCUGAGCUUCUAACAGCAUCGGUAAAUCAUAAGAUUCCAGCUCCUCCUAUCAGUUUCCUUCUUUCUUUUACAGUGUGGUCUGGAAUGUUGGCUUUACAGGGAUGGUGCUCACUGGUGCUACACAACUUUCAUGUCUCACACUCAUCCCAUACAUAUGUCUCCUAUUAGCUACACUCGCCCAGAGAGAGGGAGGAAAGGGAAGGAGAGAGGGGGGGGAAGG